AGCAGCCGCGGUAAUUCCAGCUCUAAUAGCGUAUAUUAAAGUUGCUGCAGUUAAAAAGCUCGUAGUUGAAUUUCGGGACUAAUAUGUCGGUCGUGCCUCGGUACGUACUGGCUUAUUGGUUUCUCCUUUCUGAAGUACCAUGAUGUCAUUUAUUUGGUGUCGUGGGGAAUCAGGACUGUUACUUUGAAAAAUUAGAGUGUUUAAAGCAGGCUCACGCUUGAAUACAUUAGCAUGGAAUAAUGAAAUAGGACGUUUGAUUCUAUUUUGUUGGUUUCUAGGAUCGACGUAAUGAUUAAUAGGGAUAGUUGGGGGCAUUAGUAUUCAAUUGUCAGAGGUGAAAUUCUUGGAUUUAUUGAAGACUAACUACUGCGAAAGCAUUUGCCAAGGAUGUUUUCAUUAAUCAAGAACGAAAGUUAGGGGAUCGAAGACGAUCAGAUACCGUCGUAGUCUUAACCAUAAACUAUGCCGACUAGGGAUCGGAUGAUGUAAUUUUUAAUGACU
rnacentral:rRNA from 1 species